rnacentral:piRNA from 1 species
UGCUAGUCAGACCUACAGUUUAGUUGAUGGCC